AACGAACGCUGGCGGCAGGCUUAACACAUGCAAGUCGAGCGCAUCCUUCGGGGUGAGCGGCGGACGGGUGAGUAACGCGUGGGAACGUGCCCUCUUCUACGGAAUAACCUCGGGAAAGUGAGAGUAAUGCCGUAUACGCCCGCAAGGGGAAAGAUUUAUCGGCGGUGGAUCGGCCCGCGUUGGAUUAGGUAGUUGGUGGGGUAACGGCCUACCAAGCCGACGAUCCAUAGCUGGUUUGAGAGGAUGAUCAGCCACACUGGGACUGAGACACGGCCCAGACUCCUACGGGAGGCAGCAGUGGGGAAUCUUGGACAAUGGGGGCAAGCCUGAUCCAGCCAUGCCGCGUGAGCGAUGAAGGCCUUAGGGUUGUAAAGAUCUUUUAGCUGGGAAGAUAAUGACGGUACCAGCAGAAGAAGCCCCGGCUAACUCCGUG
rnacentral:rRNA from 1 species